rnacentral:rRNA from 1 species
UGGGGAAUAUUGGACAAUGGGCGCAAGCCUGAUCCAGCCAUGCCGCGUGAGUGAUGAAGGCCCUAGGGCUGUAAAGCUCUUUCACCGGUGAAGAUAAUGACGGUAAUCGGAGAAGAAGCCCUGGCUAACUUCGUGCCAGCAGCCGCGGUAAUACGAAGGGGGCUAGCGUUGUUCGUAUUUACUGGGCGUAAAGCGCACGUAGGCGGACUAUUAAGUCAGGGGUGAAAUCCCGGGGCUCAACCCCGGAACUGCCUUUGUUCCUGGUAGUUGUGUGUUCGAGCGAGGUGAGUGGAAUUCCGAGUGUAGAGGUGAAAUUCGUAGAUAUUCGGAGGAACCCCAGUCGCGAAGGCGGCUCACUGGCUCGAUACUGACGCUGCGGUGCGAAAGCGUGGGGAGCAAACAGG